rnacentral:rRNA from 1 species
AGUGAACGCUGGCGGUAGGCCUAACACAUGCAAGUCGAACGGCAGCACAGUAAGAGCUUGCUCUUACGGGUGGCGAGUGGCGGACGGGUGAGGAAUACAUCGGAAUCUACUUUUUCGUGGGGGAUAACGUAGGGAAACUUACGCUAAUACCGCAUACGACCUACGGGUGAAAGCAGGGGAUCUUCGGACCUUGCGCGAUUGAAUGAGCCGAUGUCGGAUUAGAUAGUUGGCGGGGUAAAGGCCCACCAAGGCGACGAUCCGUAGCUGGUCUGAGAGGAUGAUCGGCCACAAUGGAACUGAGACACGGUCCAGACUCCUACGGGAGGCAGCAGUGGGGAAUAUUGGACAAUGGGCGCAAGCCUGAUCCAGCCAUACCGCGUGGGUGAAGAAGGCCUUCGGGUUGUAAAGCCCUUUUGUUGGGAAAGAAAAGCAGCAGGUUAAUACCCCGCUGUUCUGACGGUACCCAAAGAAUAAGCACCGGCUAACUUCGUG